GGUGACUGGAAGAUUGUUCCAUAGAGCUGGUGCUGCUACAGAAAAGGCUCUAUCACCCAUGGAUGUUUUCGUGCUUGGCUGUGUUAGUCUUAACGUAUCUAUUGAUCUAAGAGCUCUGGUGGGUACAUGCAGAUGUACAAGCUGGCGAAGGUAGUCACAGGACUGGUCAUCGUAGAGGCAGUUAUGAGUCAGUAGCAGAAUCUUGAAGUAGAUCCUGUACUUUACUGGAAGCCAGUGAAGGGAUUUCAGAACUGGCGAUAUAUGGUCAUGGCGAUGGAAAUUUGAUUAGAAAA